rnacentral:rRNA from 1 species
UCCUACGGGACGCAGCAGUGGGGAAUAUUGCACAAUGGGGGGAACCCUGAUGCAGCGACGCCGCGUGAGUGAAGAAGUAUUUCGGUAUGUAAAGCUCUAUCAGCAGGGAAGAAAAUGACGGUACCUGACUAAGAAGCCCCGGCUAACUACGUGCCAGCAGCCGCGGUAAUACGUAGGGGGCAAGCGUUAUCCGGAUUUACUGGGUGUAAAGGGAGCGUAGACGGUUAUGCAAGUCUGAAGUGAAAGGCAAGGGCUCAACCUUUGGACUGCUUUGGAAACUGUGCUGCUAGAGUGUCGGAGAGGCA